CCCAGCACACUACAGAGCCCCCUCUUGGCUCUGAAAGCCAAGGAGGAGGUUCCGGAACACCCUCUGGAAGGCAGGACUCCUCCCACACAGGACACCCUUUGGGAGAAAGGUGACACCCUCUGGGUAGAUAUGACUCCUUGGCUACACCCUUCAAGAGAGCUGGGACACCAUUAAGGCUUCAAGUACACCAACUGGAAUGCAUUUCAUGACCAUUAAACCCCUGUGAAGAGGGACAGAACACCUUCUAAGCAGAAAGACUGCCUGGGAGGAAGAGAGAGGAGGCGGGUAGAGGAUAGGACCCCUGGGUUCUGAGAGAGAUGACCCAGGACCUGUACUCCUGGGCCCCCGAGCCAUCACCAGCCUCCCCUCCAGAAAAGCCUGUGCCUGCUGCCCCCUAGUGGACAUGGAGAUUAGGCCAGACCAGGGACAGGGAACUGACAGGUCAAGGAGGGAAGCCAGAGG
rnacentral:lncRNA from 1 species